AUGUAUACGGACUGACGCCUGCCCGGUGCUGGAAGGUUAAGAGGACCGGUUAGUUCUUCGGAGCGAAGCUGAGAAUUUAAGCCCCAGUAAACGGCGGUGGUAACUAUAACCAUCCUAAGGUAGCGAAAUUCCUUGUCGGGUAAGUUCCGACCUGCACGAAUGGCGUAACGACUUCUCAGCUGUCUCAACCGUAGACUCGGCGAAAUUGCAUUACGAGUAAAGAUGCUCGUUACGCGCGGCAGGACGAAAAGACCCCGGGACCUUCACUACAGCUUGGUAUUGGUGUUCGGUUCGGUUUGUGUAGGAUAGGUGGGAGACUGUGAARCGGUGACGCCAGUUAUCGUGGAGUCGUUGUUGAAAUACCACUCUGAUCGAAUUGGACCUCUAACCUCGGACCAUGAUCUGGUUCAGGGACAGUGCCUGGUGGGUAGUUUAACUGGGGCGGUUGCCUCCCAAAAUGUAACGGAGGCGCCCAAAGGUUCCCUCAGCCUGGUUGGCAAUCAGGUGUCGAGUGCAAGUGCACAAGGGAGCUUGACUGUGAGACUGACAGGUCGAGCAGGGACGAAAGUCGGGACUAGUGAUCCGGCACCGGCAAGUGGAAGCGGUGUCGCUCAACGGAUAAAAGGUACCCCGGGGAUAACAGGCUGAUCUUCCCCAAGAGUCCAUAUCGACGGGAUGGUUUGGCACCUCGAUGUCGGCUCGUCGCAUCCUGGGGCUGGAGUAGGUCCCAAGGGUUGGGCUGUUCGCCCAUUAAAGCGGCACGCGAGCUGGGUUUAGAACGUCGUGAGACAGUUCGGUCUCUAUCCGCCGCGCGCGUUAGAAACUUGAGGAAGGCUGUCCCUAGUACGAGAGGACCGGGACGGACGAACCUCUGGUGUGCCAGUUGUUCCGCCAGGAGCACCGCUGGUUAGCUACGUUCGGAAGGGAUAACCGCUGAAAGCAUCUAAGCGGGAAGCCUGUUCCAAGAUGAGGUUUCUCACCCCCUCGAGGGGGUAAGGCCCCCGGCAGACCACCGGGUUGAUAGGCCAGAACUGGAAGUGCAGUAAUGCAUGCAGGUGACUGGUACUAAUAGGCCGAGGACUUACCACA
rnacentral:rRNA from 1 species